CUUAGUGGCGGACGGGUGAGUAACGCGUGGGUAACCUGCCUUGCACUGGGGGAUAACACUUAGAAAUAGGUGCUAAUACCGCAUAACAGGAGAAGAUGCAUGUCUUUUCCUUGAAAACUCCGGUGGUGUAAGAUGGACCCGCAUCUGAUUAGCUUGUUGGCGGGGUAACGGCCCACCAAGGCGACGAUCAGUAGCCGGCCUGAGAGGGUGAACGGCCACAUUGGGACUGAGACACGGCCCAAACUCCUACGGAAGGCAGCAG
rnacentral:rRNA from 1 species